GGAGGAAGGUGGGGAUGACGUCAAGUCAUCAUGGCCUUUAUGCCCAGGGCUACACACGUGCUACAAUGGCCGGCACAGACGGCAGCUUAGUGGCGACACUUGGCAAAUCCUCUAAAGCCGGUCCCAGUUCGGAUUGCAGUCUGCAACUCGACUGCAUGAAGCCGGAAUCGCUAGUAAUCGCAGAUCAGCCAAGCUGCGGUGAAUACGUUCCCGGGCCUU
rnacentral:rRNA from 1 species